rnacentral:tRNA from 1 species
AAUAAAGUGGCUGAAAUUUAGGCAAUAGAUUGUAAAUCUAUUUAUGAGGUUAACACAACUCCUUUAUUA